AUUUUGUUAGGUCGUCAUCUUGUCCAGGAAGGUUGUUGUGUUGACGGGUAUAUUGAAAAAGUGAUACACAAUUGGAAUAUCUUCUUGAGGAAUUAUAAACUUGAGGACCAGGGAACACAAUGGAGCAUAUGGAUCACAGCAACCAGCAGGAUUCCAGUAGCUGUGGAGUUUUAAUCUGGAUGUUUGCCAAGGAGUUCCUGCAAACAAGAACAAUAUGUGAAGUGAAGACAUCAGCGGAAUAUUUAAAGGAUGCAAGACUGGAAAUAGCUUGUGCCCUACUAUAGUAUAAAGAUUUAAAAAGAGGGAGAUCCUCGGAAUUGUCCGUCAAUGAUGUUUCCAGUGCACAGACAAAUGCACCACCAUUUUCCGCCGCCUGAUUUUAAAAAGAAGAGCAAACGGCCAUUCUAUAGUAAACUUCCACUAAGCCGAUUCAUACCAGGCUGCAGACCUGACAGAAACUUCUUCUAGUGAUUCCAAAGUGUGGACCACCCAAAGAGAGAGAUCAUUAUAUUAUA